rnacentral:rRNA from 1 species
AUUGAACGCUGGCGGCAUGCUUUACACAUGCAAGUCGAACGGUAACAGGCCUUCGGGUGCUGACGAGUGGCGAACGGGUGAGUAAUGCAUCGGAACGUGCCCAGAGGUGGGGGAUAACACAGCGAAAGCUGUGCUAAUACCGCAUGUGAUCUGAGGAUGAAAGCGGGGGACCAGGCAGCAAUGUUUGGCCUCGCGCCUUUGGAGCGGCCGAUGUCAGAUUAGGUAGUUGGUGGGGUAAAGGCCUACCAAGCCGACGAUCUGUAGCUGGUCCGAGAGGACGACCAGCCACACUGGGACUGAGACACGGCCCAGACUCCUACGGGAGGCAGCAGUGGGGAAUUUUGGACAAUGGGCGCAAGCCUGAUCCAGCAAUGCCGCGUGCGGGAAGAAGGCCUUCGGGUUGUAAACCGCUUUUGUACGGAACGAAAAGGCUCUGGCUAAUACCUGGGGCUGAUGACGGUACCGUAAGAAUAAGCACCGGCUAACUACGUG